UUCACUUGGUGUCUUGAUCCAUAAAAAUCCCUAAAUUAUGCAAAUAUCUCUUUCGAGAGUAAGAGCAACUGACUCUAGGUUGGUUAAUUGAAAUCUCUUUCUAAUUAAAACCCCUAUCGUCGCGUUAACUCGAUCUAUGGACUCCCUUAUUAGAUUUGACUUUAAUCUGAUAGAUUUAUGUCAUCCUACUUCUAAGAUUGCAUGCAACUCUAAUCAACUAUGUUAGACCUACUCUUAAAAAUGGACUUUUCCUCCACUGAAUUAAGCACAUUAAACAUGAAUUAAUAUCCCGAAAAUAUUAAAACAAUAAAUAAGCACACAUAAUGAGAACAAGAAUCAAGUAUUUAUCACGUAAAACAAAAAUUAAAUAAUGGGAUUCAUCAUAAGUUUCAUCUUCCCUAGGUAUCUAGGGAAUUAGUUCAUAAUCCUAAAUGAAAACAUCUCAAAGUUAGAAAAACCACAAUAAAUAAAGAAUCUCAUAAAAACUUCAAAUGAAAUUAAAAAGAGGUCUUCGAUCUUGCUGGGAAUUGCUCCAGAGUUGGCUCCAAUGGUGUUCUUCGAGUUGUUUCUUUGAUCUUACCUGAUAGCCCCCGUAUCUCUUCUUCUAUUUGGUAUUUAUAGACUUCAGAAUGCCCAAAAAGCCUAAAAAAUUCAUUUUUCUGUGUGCUUAGGAAGCAAGGUGCGAAAUUGAAACAGACUGGCCCAUAGGCGUGUGUUCAGCCCGUGUGACUCAUAUGGGCAUGUGUCCAACUCAUGUGGCUCCUGAAAUCUACUCUAUUUGUUUGAUUUUAACUCGUUUUUCGCUCAUUUCGCGCCUAAAUGCUUACCUAAGUAUAAGAACAUGAUUUCAAAGGAUUAGGAGCAUCAAAUUCACCAAUUUGCAUAAAUAAUCACAUAAAAACACAUUAAGAAUGAGAUUAAAAUAUGUUAGUUUUAUCAUUUAUCAUGAAGCUUGUUAAAGGUUUUUCUUCAAAGGGUUUCAUAGAGCAUCACCUUUUCAUCACCUUCUAUUCAAUCUUUUCCAUCUCUCCAUUAUCUUUAUUAAUCUCGAUCAUGUUCACUAGAAUAAUUUUCUAAUGCGUUAUCUUCUUGUUCAAAUUUUCGAUUUCAAGAACUAAGAAUUCCCUCAAGAAUGUGUCUCUCAUUCAAGAUUCGACUCUAUCACACUCUAAAUCUCUUGGAUCUUUAUUUAUUGUUGAAAUUCUUUCUUUUACUUAGUUUUGCUUGUUGUCAAAUUGUCUUACUCUCACUUGGCUUUUUGUCAAAUUGUCUUUUAAUCACCAAGUUAGGGUUCAAUCAUUUUUGAUUGGUUUUCCGUUGCCUAAACAACUUGAAUCUUGACUCUAUUUAUUGUGCCCUGUCAAUGAUUGGCUACUUGAGCCUAUUGGUUGUAGGUGUUAAAAGGCUCUUAAAAGAAAAUGGUAGCCAAGCUUCACAUUGUAAACCCAAAUUAUAGAGUGAUGUCAAAUUAAUUUAUCAUCUUGUUCAUGUUCUCCUAUUGGUGUCAUGGAGAUGGCCUUUAUGUCAUUGAAGAGAGAUCCAUGUUCCAUAGUCUUCCAUUGCUAGAGAAUAAGUCUUUCACCAAUUUCAAUUUUUCUACAUCAGCUUAAUUUGAUGAAACCAUGAAAUUUGGAAUGGAGGGAGUCCGUUUCUCACCUAUUAUCGACAAAUAAAAAAAUUAUUAAGCCCUUGUAAAAAAAAAUCACCCAAUUAAACGAUUAUUGGUAAUAAAAAGAUCCAUUAAAUCUCUUCGUGAUCGUAAACCUUUGUUGACCGAUUUGAUCAUGCCAUAUAUUGAACAAAUAUAUAUAAAAAAAAAGUCUAGAAUGAACUUAGACAAUAUGAUCUUUAAAUUCAUUUGAAUCUAGAUAUCAUCUUGUCCAAGUUCAUUCCAAUCAUGGAUUUAAAAAAUUUAAAUUUUUUUAAAAAUAUAAACAAUUAAAUUUGUAAAUAAUUAUAUUAAUUAUAAAUAAUUAUUAAUUUUUUUAGAAAACUACAAAAAUAUAAAAAAAAAAUUAGAAAUAUUUAAACAUAGUUAAAAAGGAUUCAAAUAAAUCAAAAUACCAUUCAACUAGAAACAACAAUAAAGAACUUCCCUCCGGUGUGUAUAUACUACUACAUAUAAAUUCAUCCAUCCUUCCAGGAUCGGAACCUGAGAUGCCCAGCACCAGCUAAACCAAAUUCCUGAGCAACAUCAUGGGUGUCGUUGUCGAGAUUGGCAAGGGUGACUUUAGUGAGAAUGGGACUGUGGACCAAACCUGGUUAUACUUCAUCGAUUCCAACACUAGCUAAAGAACACAAAAAAGUUGGUAUAAUAUGAUCAAGUUAGAAAUGUAUUGAAACCGGUCUAAGGUGGCAAUCACUACUGGUCUGCACUGAAGUGGAGGAAGAGGAACAGUAUUGGCCUUGAUCAUGGUGGAUUGAAAUGCAACAAGUAGAAGAAAACCAUAAAAGCAUGAUUGGCAAGCUUUUUUCCUUCUUUUUUUUUUAUACAAUUUUUCUGUAUUUUAUAAAUUUUAAGAAUUUUUAUAAUUAUUUAAUUUUUUUAUAAUUUAAAAAAUCAAGUUGAAAAUCAAUCCUAACAAAUGAAUGUUUAAAUUAAAACAAAUUUACUCUAGAUUUAAAUAUUUAUAAUUUAUUUGUUAAUUUUUUAAAAUGUUUAUAUUUUAAGUGUAUGUCAUCGUGACAUGUUACAUGAUAACUGUUCAUUGUUUGAAUCAUACCAUAAUGUUAUUAAAAGAAAAGUUUAAUUGACAAAAUUUCAAUUAAAACUCAAUUGAUUUUUAAUAAAAAAUAAACUAAAUACUACAAUAGGAAUGGAUUUUUUUAUUUUCUCCGUACGCUUAUUUGAAGCAGUAAACAUAGGUGAAAUGGUAGCUAGUGUUUGGCCUUACCACUGACAAUUGACUACUUUAAUUGCGUGUUUGAAUGGUGAGAUGAAACCCAUCCCGUUGUCUAAUUUGCUUUCAUGUCAGUCUCACAUAUCCUUUUCUAAUCAAUCUCUUUUACCUUUGUUAAUUUUGUUUUAUAGUGAUGAAAUUAAAUUAUUUCUUAACAUUAAGAUGAGUAUAAGAGACCAUGAUAAACUUAUAUGUGGAGUUCACAAGGCUAAACAAACUAAAUUUGAUAUGAAUGUGGAUGUUAGUACUGCCCACUUCCCCUGCUGGUUUUGUAUAAUUGAUGGAUUCCCCUCAACUUAUCCUGCUGAAUUUGUAUAAUGAAUUGAUAUUACCUCGAAUUGUCUCCCUUAACUUUGUAUGAUAUGUAGUGAAGAGACUCCUACUCAGAUCCAGUGUCGUCUUCACAAGAUCACAGCUAGUGUUUUUUCAGUAUUUGGACUCCUUUUCAGCUUCAUUUGGCUUGUACUUCUUAACUUUACCUUACGGAUAUAACCAAAAUAAUGUCAUUAAUAUUUAUUUAAACAUUUAUAUUUUAAUACAUUUCAAUACAAAAGAACUAAUGUCAUGUUCAAAUAUAUACGAAAUAUUAAGAUACUAAUAUAUAUUUGUCUCAUUGUCUGUUUUUCUCUGUUGCCUUUCGUUUUAAUUUUAUGUAUAUGUACAUAUAUUAACUUUUGUUUCUAAUCAAAGCAAGCUCAUUAUUAACGAGCAGUUGAAAGAAGUAGAAUUCCAUUUUUUUUCUCAUGUCUUUUGAAUUAUGUUUGAAUUUUUAAAUUGAUAUUGUUAAAAUAAAUUUAUCUUAAUGCCAUCCUUGACCUGAAUAGGAUUAUAUUCAGAAUGAUGAAAAAAAAAAUUUCAUUGUAAUUCAAAGGUCAAACUGUCAAAGCAAUAGUUAUAUAUUUAUGGUCAAAUUUUAUUAUCAGUCCAUAUAUUAUAUGUAACUCGUAAAUUUAAUCUUUAUAUUUUAAUUUGAUUAAUUUUUGUUCUUAUAUCUUUUGAAUUAGUCAAUUUUAAUCUCAUAUAUUUUGAAUUUUAAAAUUUUAGUCCCGAUCCAAAUAAUAACAAUUAAAUUUGUUUGGUUAAUUCUACUAUUAAUCUUAUACUAUGCAUAAAGUUGUACAUUUAGUCCAUGUUCUCUUAUUUGAUUAUUCUUAGCCCAUCUACCUUUUGGAUUUUGAAAGUUCAAUCUCAAGGCAAGUAUCUAUUAAAUUCAUUAACUGACUUUUUUUUAUGAGUAAUAUAUGAAAAUAUCAAGCUAACAUGUAUUAUAUAUGUUAUAAUAUGUUAGCCAUAUAAGAUUUUGGAAAUCACAAAAUUAAACUUAAUGAGCCUAGCAACAAUUACUUGUUUGGCCAAAAUUAAAAUUUCAAAAUUUUAAAAAUAUAAAGACUAAAAAUAAUUAAAUUAAAAUAUAUGAACUAAAUCCAUAAUUUACUGAUAGCAAAAAUUAAGCUAUAUUUGCAUGGACUGUUACUUAGGAAUUGGCAUCUUUAAAUCCAAGCAAAUAAUUUUCAAGGUCCUUUUGGAUGGACGGUUCUUUUACUUGCGAUUAGUGUAAAAAUAGCGGUGACAAUAAAAUUAGAUACUAUAGCGAUUUUGUAACAUGAGAAAAGAAAAGAAAAAAACUAAAUGUAUCACACUGAAAAUAAAUGUCCAUCCAAAGAGAACCUAAACCUUAUUGAUUGUUGUUGAAAUAAAAACAAAAAAAAAUUACUACCCUUCCAAAUAAAUGAAAACAAAUAUCUAAUAAUAUUUUAAUUAAUUAGUUAAUUAUCAUUGAUUUUCUACGUUUCUAUCAAAAGGUUAGCAUCAAUUGCAAUUAGCAUUAUAAUUUUCUUUUAAUUUAAGUCCUAUUCGGACCAUUUUUACCUCCAUCAACUCUUAUUUAUAAAGUGUAGUGGCACUAACCAUUGGGUAAUAUACAAAAACCUCAUUCUUAAUAAGAAUCUAAUCAUAUACGUACAACAUGAAGCUUGACGUCGUAGUAGUUUCCGAGGAGAUACUAAAGCCAUCCUCUCCAACCCCCGACCGACUUCGUCGGUAUAGACUAUCAUUCCUCGAUCAAUUAACUCCCUUACUCUAUAACCAUUUGGUUUAUUUCUAUCCAAAAAUAUGCGAUACCGAAGCCAACAGAAUCACAAUUUUGGAUCGGCUGAAACACUCCAUGUCCAAUGCCUUCACCUAUUUCUACCCACUGGCUGGUCGGAUGAUGGAGGACCGGUUGUCUAUUGAUUGCAAUGAUGAGGGGAUUCCCUUCGUGGAAGUUAGAGUGAAGUGCAAACUUUUAGAUGCUAUAAAUAAUGUAGUUCCGAAAGAACUCAACAUAUGCUUCCUUUUGAAAUCCAUGGACACAAAGAAAUUCUCCUCGGAAUCCAAUUCAAUGUGUUCGACUGUGGGGGAAUAGGGAUUGGUGUUUGUGUUUCUCACAAAAUCAGUGACGCCCUUUCGUUUUUCACGUUUGUGAAUAUGUGGGCAGCCAUUGCUCGUGGGGAGACAAAGUUAAUGGCACCCAGUUUCGAAUCAGCCGCGCUUUUCCCACCACGAGAUCUUUCGGGAUACACACCAAUAAUCAGUCAAUUAAAAAAAGAACAUGUUCUAACCAAGAGCUUCGUAUUUGGUGCCACCAAAGUGGAGGAAAUCAGAAGAAAAUACGCCGAGAGUUGUAACCAAACAUGCCCAACUCGAGUUGAGGCUUUAUCGACUUUCAUAUGGGAGCGUUUGGUUACUGCCAUUAGUGUAAGAUCAAGACCCAAUACGGUUUGCACAAUUUCUCACUUGGUAAAUAUACGUGCAAGAACUGAACCCCCAUUGCCAAUAUCGUCAUUCGGCAACCUUUAUAGCUUUGCAAUCAUAAUCCCAUCCAUGAACAGUAACAUCGUCACCCAAAUGAGAGACUCCAUAAAAACAGUGAACAAGGAGUAUGUGAAGAAACUCCAAGAUGGAUAUAAUCACUACGACAAAUAUGAAGAAAUAAUAACACGUUAUGGCGGCAAAUGCGAGAUCAUUCCCCUUGGUUUCACCAGUUUAUGCAGGUUUCCUCUGUACGAAUCUGAUUUUGGUUGGGGGAAACCCAUUUGGGCAGCCUCCGCUCAUAGAGAAAUCAGGAACACAACUGUUUUCAUGGAUGCCGUGAAUGGCAACGGAAUAGAGGCUUGGGUUACCCUAGAUGAGGAAGAACUGAAGAAAUUUGAUACUGAUGAGGAAUUGCUUGCAUAUGUUAAUGCUCCAAAAGGCUUGUAAAAUGGUUAAGUUUUUGUGUCAAAGCUUUAAAUUGCUUUUGGUGAAGAUUGUGUUUGUGUCAAAAAGAUUGUGAUUGUUGAAGCAUUGAUUUCAUUUCAGGUUUGCAUUGCAUGUAUAUAUGAUUUUCAGCUGUUCAUUUUGGUUUUUAAUAUCUAUAUUGGGAGAUGGAUCAUGAUUGAUUAUUAACUAAUGUGCUGGUAUUGGUGUAAACCUCUACAAUGGACACCUACACAUCAGAUCACAUCUCAAGUAAUGGUUAAACUUCUUGAAAGUUUGCAUUUGAAUUUAAAAUAAAAAUAAAAAAAUUGUGAUGCAGUUUGUGAGAAUUAUAAAGGGUCAAUCCCCUUACUGAUUUUUUUUUUUUUAAACUUACAUUCUCUGUAAAUUAAAAUAACAAAGAAAUGUUGUAAAUUAAAUGGAUGUUUUAACCCCUUCAAGCAUAUUAAAGUAAUGAGAUAAAACUCUUUACUUAAUUUAUAAUCAGGAGAUUAUUAAAUAGAAUAAUUAAGAAACUUUAAUUCAUUAAAUGUAAUACAUUUAUUAAUUGAAUGUAAAGGAGCUUAUAAAUAGCACCUUGUAAAUGAAAAUAAAAUAAUGAAAUUCUCUCGUAUUUUUCAUCCUCUUUUAUUUAUUGUUUUAUUAAUUUUUCUAUAACACGUUAUCAGCACGAGCUUCUACGAGUUCAUAGUGAAGUUCACGUCAUUUCGACUUUAUAUAAUUUGCCCGUAUUAUACGGUAUACGUAUUUUCAUAAUUCUUUUAUUUUAUUUUCUAGAUAAAAUAUUUGCUUUGGGUAACAUUUGCACAUUUAUUUUUACAACUAAAAUCUAAUAAUGAUAAUUAUAUAUACAUGUUUUUUUUUAUUAAAAGAAAUUUCAAUUAAUUUAAUUUGUGUUAAGUUAUUAUUAAGAGUAUUCCUCUUUAUGCCAAUAUUUGACAUACAUAUUAUUAUUUAGCAAAUUUGGUAUAUAUAAUUGAAUUAUUUUACGAUUGAGAAUACUUAUUAUUUUACUAAUAUUUUUUUAUUUUGAUUAAAGUGAUUAUAAUGUCAAAUCUUGCCAAACUUGAAUUUGCGGCCUUAGACAUCUCAGGUAAGAAUUAUUUGUCAUGAGUGUUAGAUGCUGAAAUUCACCUAGAUGCUAAAGGUCUAGGAAAUACUAUAUUAGCAGAUAAAGAAGCAACUAAUCAAGACAAGGAAAAAGCAAUGAUUUUCAUCUGUCAUCAUCUGCAUGAAGGAUUAAAAGUGGAAUAUCUCACUGUGAAAGACCCUCUUGAGUUGUGAAAAAAUUUGAAAGAACGAUUUGAUCAUCAGAAAUCUGUGAUACUCCCUAAAGCUCGUUAUGAUUGGUUGCACUUAUAGUUACAAGAUUUUAAGACUGUAAGUGAAUAUAAUUCAGAACUUUUCAAAAUUAGUUCUCAACUAAAAUUAUGUAGAGAAAGCAUAACUAAUGAGGACUUGUUAGAGAAAACAUUUUCAACCUUUCACGCUACUAAUGUGCUCCUGCAACAGCAAUACCGUGAAAAAGGUUUUAAAAGGUAUUCUGAAUUGAUUUCAUGCCUUUUGGUGGCUGAACAAAAUAAUAAGCUAUUGAUGAAAAAUCAUGGAAUUCGUCCCAUUGGUUCUGCACCAUUCCCUGAAGUGAAUGUAGUAGUACACAAUAAUUAUGAAAAUAGAAAAUAUAGAAGUCGCGGCCGUGGUCGUGGACGUAGUGGGGGACGUGGUCGAGGACGUAUUAGUAAUCGUUAUUAUGGUGGUCAUAACAAUGAUACUUCUAACCACCAAAAAAAGAAUAACAAUGAAAGACAAGAAAGAAGUGGUCAAAAUAAUCCUUCAAAGAUUGUUGAGAAUAUAUGCUACCGAUGUAGUAUGAAGGGGUUUUGGUCACGUACCUGUCGUACGUCUGAGCAUUUAGUGAAACUUUAUGAAACAUCCAUUAAAAGGAAGGGAAAGCAUAUGGAGACAAAUUUUAUAUCCCAAAAUGAUGAAAUGGAGGCAAAAGAUAAAGAUAUUCACUAUAAUAAUAAAAUUGACCAUGCCUACGAGGAUGAUAAAUUUAAUGACUUUAAUAAUAUAACUCACCUAGAUGUGGCAGAUUUCUUUGAGAAUCAUUAGAAAAAUUGAUGUUAUUUUGGCAUUUUUAUGUUGUUUUAAGUAUAUUUCAUUUUCUUGCAUAAAGAAUAAUUUAUAUAUUUAAUAAAUAAUUGCAAUGUUUCUCAUAUUAUAUUUUGUUUAUUUUUAUAAAGAAUAUGAAUAUUCAACAAAAUUUCGAUGGACUUAAAAUCAAUGAAGACAUAUGUCUUACAGAUAGUGCUACAACACAUACGAUACUCAAAGAUAAAAAAUAUUUUUCUCAUUUGACAAUGAGUAAUGCCCAUGUUAAUACAAUAUCGGGUAGUUCAAAACUUAUUGAAGGCUCUGGAAGAGCUAUUAUAUUAUUACCUAAAGGUACAAAAUUUAUCAUUGAUGAUGCUUUAUAUUCCACCAAGUCUCAAAGAAAUUUAUUGAGUUUUAAAGAUAUUCGUCUUAAUGGAUAUCAUAUUGAGACUAUGAAUGAGAAAAUUGUUGAAUAUAUAUAUUACAAAUGUUGAAUAUGGAAAGAAAUAUAUUUUGGAAAGGCUACCUGCUUUUUCAUCAGGUUUAUAUUAUACACAUAUUAGUGCAAUUGAGUCACAUGUUACUACAAACCAGAAGUUUGUAGAACAACAUACUUUUACUAUUUGGCAUGAUUGAUUAGGCCAUCCCGGAUCUAUUAUUAUGCGAAGAAUCAUCGAGAAUUCAAUUGGACACCCAUUAAAGAACCAAAAGAUUCUUGAAUUCAAGGAUUUAUCUUGUGUCGCUUGUUCUCAAAGAAAAUUGAUUAUUAGACCAUCACCAACUAAAGUUGGGAUUGAAUCUCCAGCAUUUUUGGAACGUAUUCAAGGUGAUAUAUGUGGGCCCAUUCAUCCACAAUGUAGACCAUUCAGAUAUUUUAUAGUAUUAAUAGAUGCAUCUAGUAGGUGGUCACAUGUGUGUUUAUUAUUAACUAGCAACCUGGCGUUUGCGAGACUACUUGCUCAAAUAAUUCGAUUAAGAGCACAAUUUCCAGAUUAUGCAAUCAAAACUAUUCGUCUUGAUAAUGCUGGUGAGUUUACAUCCCAAGCUUUUAAUGAUUAUUGUAUGUCAAUUGGGAUAAAAGUUGAACAUCCUAUAGCUCAUGUUUAUACACAAAAUGGUUUAGCUUAAUCAUUUAUCAAACGCCUCCAACUAAUAGCUCAGCCAUUGCUUAUAAGAACAAAUCUCCCUGUUACAGCUUGGGGAUAUGCUAUUUUGCAUGCAGCAGCACUUGUGCGCUUAAGGCCAACAAGUUAUAAUAAGUACUCCCCAUUAAAAUUGGCUUUUGGUCAGGAGCCAAAUAUUUCUCAUCUUAGAAUUUUUAGAUGUGCAGUAUAUGUUCCAAUUGCUUCACCACAACGCACAAAGAUGGGUCCUUAAAGGAGGUUGGGAAUAUAUGUUGGUUAUGAAUCUCCUAUAAUUAAAUAUGUUGAACCAUUAACAAGAGAUUUAUUUACUUCACGAUUUAUUGAUUGUCAUUUUGAUGAAACAAUCUUCCCAACAUUAGGGGAAGAGAAAAUACAAGUGGUAAAAGAAAUUACAUGGAAUGGAUCAUCAUUAUCUCAAUUAGAUCCUCGUACAAGUCAAUGUGAACAAGAAGUUCAAAGGAUUAUACAUUUGCAAAACAUUGCCAAUCAACUGCCAGAUUCAUUUACUGACCUAAAGAGAAUUACAAAAUCUCACAUACUAGCUGAAAAUGCUUCAAUACGAAUUGAUAUCCCAAUAAGGCAAAUUGUUAGUGCAAAAGAAAGUAAUUCACGCCUGAAGCGUGGGAGGCCAAUCGGUUCCAAAGAUAAAAAUCCUUGUAAAAAGAAAGGAUCAAGUAUUCAAUAUGGUAAUAUUGUGGAGGCAAGUUCCCUAGAAGAGGCCAAAGAUAUAACUAAUCAAAAAACCCCAGAAGAGGUUUAGGUACUUGAAAAUGGUGAUAACGAAGAAAUCUCAAUAAGUUAUGUUACUUCAGGAAAAAGAUGGAACCGAAAAAGUAUAGCUGCCGACAACAAUUUUGCUUAUAAUGUUGCUAUUGAAAUAGCAAAAGAAAAUGAGGAUCUUGAGCCUAAAUCUAUUGAGGAAUGUAGAAAUAGAAAAGAUUGGCGAAAAUAGAAAGACGUAAUUCAAGCAGAAUUAAAUUCACUUUCUAAACGUGAGGUUUUUGGACCUAUAGUCCAAACACCUAAAUAUGUAAAGCCGGUAGGAUAUAAAUGGAUAUUUGUGUGAAAAUGAAAUGAGAAAAAUGAAUUCGUAACAUAUAAAUCACGACUUGUAGCACAAGGAUUUUCGCAAAGACCCGGCAUUGAUUAUGAAGAAACAUAUUCUCCUAUGGUGGAUGCAAUCACGUUUAGAUACCUUAUUUGUCUGGCAGUAUGUGAAAAACUUGAUAUGCGUCUAAUGGAUGUUGUUACAGCCUAUUUGUAUGGUACACUUGAUAGUGAAAUUUAUAUGAAAAUCCCUGAAGGGUUUAAAAUCCUUGAAGGAUAUAGUGUUUCCCGGGAAAAUUGCUCAAUCAGAUUAAAGAAAAGUUUAUAUGGAUUAAAACAAUCUAGAUGUAUGUGGUACAAUUGUCUUAGUGAAUAUUUGUUAAAAGAAGGUUAUAAAAACGAUCCAAUCUGCCCAUGUGUUUUAUAAAAAAGGUCUAAAUCAAACUUUGUGAUAAUUGCUAUUUAUGUUGAUGAUCUAAAUAUUAUUAGAACUCCUGAAGAGCUUCAAAAUGCAGUAAAUUAUUUAAAGAAAGAAUUUGAGAUGAAAGAUCUAGGAAAAACAAAAUUUUGUCUUGGCCUGCAGAUCAAGCAUUUAAAAGAUGGAAUUCAUGUCCAUCAGUCAACCUAUACGAAAAAAAUCUUAAAUAAAUUUUAUAUGGAUAAAGCACAUCCAUUGAGUACCCUGAUGGUUGUACGAUCGUUAGAUGUGAAUAAAGAUCAAUUUCAUCCUUGUGAGAAUGAUAAAGAGUUUCUUGGUCCUGAAGUACCAUAUCUAAGUGCCAUAGGAGCAUUGAUAUAUCUUGCAAAUAACACAAGACCUGAUAUAGCUUUUGCUGUAAACUAGUUAGCAAGAUUUAGUUCCUGUCCAACACGUAGACAUUGGAAUGGAAUUAAACAUGUAUUUAGAUAUCUUAGAAGGACCAUUGAUAUGGGGUUAUUUUAUUCAAAUGAUUCAAAAUCCCUAUUAGUUGGUUAUGCUGAUGCUGGAUAUUUAUCAGAUCCACAUAAAGGUCGAUCUCAAACGGGAUAUUUAUUUACAUGUGGAGGUACUGUCAUAUCAUGGCGUUCGACAAAGCAAACAUUAGUUGUUGCCUCUUUAAAUCAUGCUGAAAUAAUUGUAAUGCAUGAGGCAAGCCGAGAAUGUGUUUGGCUAAGGUUAUUAACCCAACAUAUCCAGAAGAUAUGUAAUUUGUAUCAAACAAGUUCCUAUCUUGUCUACUUGGACAUUUAUAUUAGCAUUUUCAUCAUUGUCACUUAGUAAUUAAUAGCAUAUAAAACUUUACAUCUUUUAAAAUUUAGUCCUUAAUUUCAUAAAAAUCAAUAUUCAUUAAAUUAACACUUUAAUAUCACUUAAAAUUAACUUCACUACCGUAAUUACUUCCCUAAAAAUUUCCAUAAAUACUUUAUUACACCUAUCAAAUUUUUUGUCACUUUUAUAUCUAGUUUUCUUUGCAUAAACUUCACUUCACUUUCUUUAUAAUCUCCUCAAUUUAGUCCCUACUAGUAUAUAUUUUCAUUAAUCACUAUCUUCUCACUUAGUAUUCACUUCACUUCUAUAUUUCAUUACACUUUAAUAUGUUAUUUAAAAACCUUAAUACACUUAGUCACUUUUGUAUAUUUUACAAUUUGGUCCUUUUUAAUAUGAAAUUCAAGUAUUACUAGAGAUUCACAUUUUGUAAUUAAUUCAUUAACACUUAACACUGUGUUUAAGCUAUUUAUCAUAAUAUUUUAUUUUACACUUAAACCUUUUUACACUUUUCAAUUUAGUCCCUAAUUCCAUAAAAUUUAUUUUUCACUACAUAAUCACUUUAAAUCAAUUUUCUUUCAUGUAACACUUCACUUGAGUAAUUCUUUCUAAUGUUUUUAGUACUUGUUGCCAUUUCAAAGUAUCUUGCCACCUAGUUCUUAACAUUAUGAAAAUUAGCAUAACACUUCACUCAAAUUCACUAUCACAAUACACUUUAAUUAAAUAAUUCAUUAUAAUAUCUUAUUUCACAUAUAAAAUUUUUAUGCACUUCACUUAUCUUGUUUUAAUUAUAAAUUUCACAAAAUUUAUAAUUUAGUCCUUAGUAUAUGAAAUAUCAUUAUUUAUUACAAUUUCACUUUAACAUCACUUUUUAUUUAAUUCACUACUAUUUCACACUUCAAUUAAGCUUUCUAUCAUAAUAUUUUAUUUCACAUAUUAAAAUUAUUUUACUAAAUUACCAAAAAUUUCAUAAAGUUUACAUUUUAGUCUUUAAGUAAUAAGAAAUUCAAGGGUACUUACCUCUCUUCAACCUUUAAUCACUUGUUUUUCACCUUUUUUCAACAAUGGUCGAUGUGAGUGAAAAAGAAAGAUGGAGAAAUUUCCAUUAUCUUUUUUUUCUUAACUAUUAAGUAAAUAAUAAAAUAUCUUAUAUUAAAAUACUCUUAACCAAUCAUUUCUCAACAGUUUUCAUCCAUAAUCAUUUUGCCCUUAAUGAUUCUCUACAACACCAUCCUUGAAUCAUCACUUAAUUUGGUAAAAUUACGAUUUAAUCCAUCGCAUUUUUUUACUUAUCCAAUUUGAUCCUAGCUUACCAACUUCGUGUCACAAGAAAUCAUUUUAUUUUCACUUUUGGCCCUUUAAAUUUUACAUAUUUAUAUCUUAACCCCUUAAAUUUUGAAUAAUUAUACUUGAGCCCUAAAAAUUUUUACAUCUUUAUGAUUUGCUCCCUAUUUUAAAUUAAUAUAUCAUGAUAUACUUUUUAAUUCAACUUUCUUUGGCAUCCAUCAACCUUUUCUUUAUCACUUAUAUUCCUUAUUUUGUUUUAUUGAGAAAUUCAUUACGCAUGAUUCUCGCUUAAUAAUGCUUUUAUAGCAUAACGAUUUUAAAGGUGUUACAGUAAAAAUAGAACCAACAUCUCCUACAUUGAUUGUGAUUCAACCUUCUUUUCCUAGAAGGCUUUUGGGAAAUAAGAGCGAAAAAGACGAUACAGAGUUCUUUGAGAUUUUUCGCAAAAAACAAGGUAAACAUUCCAUUACUAGAUGCUAUGAAAAAUAUGCAUUUUUUUUCCGAAAAUUUUAAAGGAUUUUAUACCAACAAAAAGAACCCCACCAUUUUCAAAAAGGUAAGCAUAGGAAGAGUGCAUCCACUUUUAUCAAGAAUAAGACACCUCUCAAAUGCUAGGACUCAAGUAUGAUUUCAAUUCCAUGUAAAAUAGGUAAUGUAGGCAUUAAGAGAGUUAUAUGUGAUUUGUGUUCAUCUAUUAAUACAAUGCCAUUAUCUAUUUGCGAAUUACUUAAUGUCAGUCUUUUGAAAGAAAUAAAGAUUAACCUUUGAUUGAUGGACAGCCCUAUAGUCUAUCCAAACAGAAUGUUGGAAAAUGCUUUGGCUAAAGUUGACGACCUAGUAUGUCCAACAAAUUUCUAUGUCAUAUAUAGAUAGAUGACGAUGUUUGUGCUUUUUCGACAUAUUAUUAGGACACCAGUCAACUAAUACAGUAACAAUAUGAGGAAUGUUGUAACUUUUUUAUCCACACAUUGGAUUUAUAAAUUAAAGUUUUAAAUCAAUAUGAUAUUGUAUAUUAUUGAUAAGUGCUAAAAGUAACAUGUUUUAACCUCAUUUUUAACACGUUUUUGGGUGAUUAUUCUAUGUUAAUUGUGAAUUUUAUACUCCUAAUCCUUUAAAUUCAUGUUUUAAUGCUUAAUAGAGCACUUGGGAGCAAAAAGAGAAAAAAAGAACAAAAAUCGGAGCAUUGAAGUAAGCUACAGGAGUCAUACGGGCUAAACCAUUUCACACAGCUAGACCACAUGGCUACGUGACCCACACAGGCAUGUUGUAGGUCGUGUCGGUUUCAUGGGAUUGCAUAUCGAAAAUAAAAAAUCACGAUUUUAGGUUUUUUGGGCAUUCUAAGACGUAUAUAUGACAAAAAAAAUAUGAGGGAGCCGUCAGAGAAUACUGAAGAAAACAACUAGAAAAAAACCAUUGAAGCCGACUUUGAAGCAGAUUUCCAUCAAGAUUGAAUAUUCUCAGUUGAUUUCUUAGGAAGUUAUCACGAGUCUCUUUAUUUCUUUCGGUUAUACUGUAUCUUUGAUGUUUUUAUUUUCAAGCAUGGACUAAUUUUUUAAAUACUUAGGGAGAUGAACCCUAUGAUGAAUUAUGUCGUUUGAUUUUUAUUUUACGCAAUAAAUAUUUAGUUUCUUGUUCUCAACUAUGCUUAAUUAUUGGUUUGAUAUUUCUAAAAUAUCAUUUUUAUUAAUAUAGUUUCAACCACUGAAAAUUUUUUAACUAUUGAAAAGUUAUUAUAUCAAACAAAUAAUUAAAAAGUUUUAAUUUAUUCAAAAUUUGAUGUGCAUAUCUAUACAAUAUAAUAAUAGAAUUAUUAAAAUAAUUAUAUAAAAGUGUGUAAAAUUAAAAUAGUUUAUAUAUAUAUAUAUAUAUAUAUAUAACAAGAGCUUGAUUUGGUAUUACAUGGGUUUUUGUUUGGGUAAAUUGCAAAUUGGGGAGGAGAUGUUAGAAUUUGUGCUCUAUAUUUUAGCUCUUAGUCACUUCCUUAUUUGGGUUGUUGGUAUACAUUAAUUGUGUUGAUUUAAUUUCGUGUUUAUUUUAAUAUUUUAUAUAUUUGUUAAGAUAUUUUGUGUUUGUAUGGUAUUUAAUGUAUAAAAUCAUAAAUUAAUAUAUAUUAUUUUCAAUUACGAUUAAAUUUGAGUUUUAUUAAUGAAGCUUGAGGCCAUGAGCUCUUUAAGAUCCUUGUUCGAAUCUCAUUUUAUUUAAAAUUUCGGUUUAGUUGUUGAAUUUAAACAAACAUAAUUCAGCAGCUCCAAUGCAACUUCGAACUUGUAAAUUUAAUUAAUUUUUAUUAAAAAUGUGAUUUCAAUUUUAUCAAACGAAUGAAAUCCAAAUAUAUUUCCAAUCUGUUGGACGAAUAAUUAGUUUAUCGACAUCAUGCAUUUCUAGCUUAGAUAACACAUGAUUUCCAUGACUAGACAAACAAUAAAAAAAUGAUUAAUUAGGUAAAAGAAAAUUCCAAUAAAUCAUCUCAAUCUUCCUCAGCUACUAAAAUUAAUACAUUGCGCUAUAUAUGCAAUAGAGGUAUAAAUAAGCUCUACAUAUUUCCACCAGCUUAAUUUCAAUUAAUUAGAUAUAAGAGAUGUCAUGGAAUUUGGUUAUAUUUGCAGUAAUCUUAAUGUUUACAACUCGUUAGUUUCUAACUCUGUGUUGUGCCUGAACCUUAACUCAUAUGUUUGUUUAAUAUGAUAAAAGUAGAUGUGUGGUUGCAGAUGCAGAGAUGGUGGCGGAGGCAAGGGGACCUAUCAUUUCAUUUAGAUGCCAUAGAAGUGAAGACUGUGGAAGUGUCUGCGCCAAAUGCCCCACCUGCACUUGCCUCUUUCACCUUUGUACUUGCCCUACCGACCCUCCAUGGCCAUUAUCAUAAUCUCAUUUACUUCUCAGCAAUAAAUGAUCACUCUGAUCCUUUCUCAUUGCAACAAGCUUUCAGAUCUAAUAAUAAUAACUCAUGGGUAUUGUUUCUUUUCUUCUGUUAUUAUUAUUAUUUUUUUAAAUUUUCCUUUUACCCUACAUAUUUCUUAUUUUCUGUUUAAUCAGUUGUUGAGAAUGGCAGACAGCAUGGAGGUCAUGAAACAAUUAGUGUGUUGUGAGGUUGUGGACAUUCAAGACUAUCGUUAAUGUAAGAAACUUGGAUACAACCUCAUACUAUAAUUGUUUAAAGAACACUAUGCUAAGAAGUUGGAUUUUAGCUUUAGGCAGCAUACAAACUCUCAUCUCCUACUGAAACGCAUUACUCCGUUGAAGCAAACUACGAAAGGUUACGAUUUUGAUUUCUUAUUUAUUAUACAACAGAAUAUUAUAAUAAAAAAAAAGUCUGCGAAAAAGGAAGGAAAAUCCCACUUAAAUGUUAAAAUAAAUUUAUUCAAAGGGCAUAUUGCUCACCUCUAAAGGCAUCAACAAUCGUCAUUCCAUGAAAAAGUAGUAAAUUGCUUUAGCUGUUAAAACAUUUGUUGUCCAAGUAACUGAAUGACACUUUGAGAUAUAAUUUAUCAGCAAAGACGCAUGGACGGUUUAAGCAUGCCCCAUUACUUAGAAGUUUAACAUAUAUUACUGAAAAAUUAAUCUACAUUACGGUAAUCAUAAGCAGUGUACUCAACUAUUGAUGAGAUAAUCAAUUUCAUCGUAAGAAAUAGAACUAAAUGUAAAACCAAUACAAAUUAAGUUUAUUAUAACUAUCAGGCUAACAUCAUGUGAUGGAGUUAUCUUACAAUUUAUUAUUAUCAACCAACUUAUUUAUUUGUAGUUACGUUUAUAGUAGCACUUUAUCUCAAAUUUUUUGCCAAUAACUAAUGACAUAUGAGUAGCACCAUAAUUUGAUAUCUUUAUGAUCGAGUGCAAUGUCCAAAAUGUCGGUAUAAGUUCAAAAGCUUGCGAAUUACUGUAAUUUUAGUAAAAAAAAAUACAAGUAAAUUUUCGUUUCAAAUAAAUGCCCAUUUUAUAAUCUUUCUUUCGAUUGGGAGACAAUUGUUAUAUAUAAAUAUCUUAACCAUAAUGGAAAUCCAUACCAAAGUCCCUUUACAUACAUUUCUUGGUAUCACUAACAACUCUCCGUCCUAUAAAAAUCUAAAUCGCACCAUCUUUUUCUCGCUAAUUCUCCAUUGUUGAUCUUUUGUAUCAACAAUAACAUUAAUAGGUAAUCACUUUGAUAUGAUGUAAGAGUAUCAAACUCAAAAAGAAUAUAUAAGAAUUUUUUUCAUUAUAUUUAAAUUUUAAAAUAAUUAAGGUUUGAAAUUUAUAAUUGCUCUGUGUUUUCUGUGUGGGUUUUAUUUGUUCAGACUUUAAAUACAUUUUGGUAUACUUGUACUUUUAAUAUUGACAUACAAUGCUGGUUUGGGAAAUAUAUAUUUAUAUUACUAAUAGUAAAAUUGAUUUGAUGAGAUCAAAUAACCAAUAAAUUUUUAUAGCUUUUAUAUUUUUUUCUAUAAUUGUUAUAAUUCUUUACAAAUUUUCUAUAAUUUUUUAUAAGCAUCAAUAUAUUCUAUUUUUUUUUAGAUUUUUAUAUAUUUUUAACAAAAUUUAAGUGAUGAUAUAGCAAAAUCGUAAAUUAUCAUGUCAUCACCUCGUAAUGAUGUUAAAAAAGGACUAAAUUAUUAAGAUAAAAUCCAAUUUGAGGAUUAAUAUGGACCAAAAAAAAAUUUUUUGAGAGUAAAUCAAAAAAAAAGUUCUCAAAUUUAGGAAUUAAAUGUUCUUUAUCCCUUUUUGAAGAUAUAAAAUUUUUUAAAUUUAUUUUUAUUUUUAAUGCAAAGAGUAAGGUCCAAUUAAAGAAAUAUUACAAACAAUAAGGGCUAAAAAAGAUAGUUUCUAUUACUAUUAAAAUAUUUUACAUCAUUUUGGUGUAUUUCAUCACAUUACUAGUACAAGGUUAAAACUUAAAAUGAGACAUGUUUCGUGUCAAAUUCGAACUCAAAAAUUCUUACAACGCAUUUGAUUCAUUAUAACAAAAUAGGACUAUAAUGAAAUAGAGCUAUAAUUGAGUUGUAAUUGAAUGGAAUAAAAUCUAAAUAUUGCAUUGUUUGGUUGAAUAGAAUAUGUCAGGAAUAGAUCAAAAAACACAACUUCUAUCUUUAAAAAUAAAAAAAAUAUUUUAUUUAUAUUAUCAAUAUAUAAUAAAAGUAUUUAAAUAAAAUAUAUAUUAAAUUAAUAUAUAAUAAAAAUAUUUAAAUAAAAUAUAUUAUUAAUAUAUAAUAAAUAUUUUUUUAAGCUGUUGCUGCAAAUUUUGAGGUUUUUCUCUCUUUUUUCUUGUAAAAAAAAUUCUAACCAUACUGUUCUUGGAACCAUCGGAGAUCAUCCGCAUGACACAAAAUUGAUGAAGAAGAAUAACAGUAAGAAAACGAUGGACAUAAUUGGAAUAAAAAAAUCGCUAUUACUGCUGAAUUGUCUAUUCUUACCACUAACCACAAAAUAUGGAUUCAGUAAAUUUGUUGAAUAAACAAGGAACGGCAUUCCAUGAAAUGGAGGGAAUGGAAUAGCAAUUCCCUCCAACCAAACGCGCUGUUACUGCUUAAACUCGCGGGAUUACACCCGUAGCUCCAGCACAAGCACCCAAGCUAUUUUGCUGAUGCAUAUUUUUAUUCUAUUCAUUUCAGCACAUGAUACAACUUCAAUUUUAUAUCUUAGAAAACAUUUAUUUUUAUCCUUUUGCGACAUCUAUGAUAUAGCAAAAUACAUAUAUCAUAAUAUGUUGCGAACAGAAAAAUUACAGAUAAUGGGCCAAAAAGAAAAUGUUGUGGAUGCUAUGAGAAACAAAACAAGUACCCACCCCGGCCAGACAAUAGAGACGUUCAUUAUUUUCUAAAACAGUGAAAUGUUGUUAACACAACAGCUUAGCAGAAACCAAAUAGUCACUACACUACCAGACCACCAGAUUCCUGAGUAACCUAUGCUCCAAGUUUCAAGAACUUCCAAUUUUACUCCAUAGUAUCCACUUUUGCACGUGUAAUACCCCAACAUAGAAUGAAACAACUUGUCAAUAAGAAAACUUCAGAUGGUAGCCUGCUAGAACUGAUUUAUAUGCGCUGUAAGAACAUGCAUAGGAUACAAAAACAGGUAAUAGGUACUUUAUCCUACUCAUUUCCAUGGCUUAAAAAGAGGGAGCUAAAUGUUAUGCACAUAGGACUAAGGAUGCACUACCUAAUUAAAAUUGUUUCCUAUAUGCCAUUUUCCAUUUGGAAAUAACUAAACUUGAUAUGGAUAUAUCUUAUGCCUCCAUCCUUUGCUUUUCUUCCAACUUAUUUCUUUCAAAUUCUUCUAACAAAAUCAUUGUCUAGCAACCAGAAAAACAGAUACUAAUUAAUAAAGAGAAUAUGAACGGUUCUUUUGACCUUUUUUAAGUGACCAGGCAACUAUUGGUAGGUUGCCACUGCCAGAUGAUAAGGAAAAACUAAAAUGAAAUCCUUAAGGACAUUAAAAGAAAUAAGUUAAUUCAUCUACAGGCGUUGUACAAGCCAGCACCUUAUUUUUUCUUCUCAUGAAAUUAUUCAUGAGUAUACCAGGGUACAGUUUGUUGUGAAAGCAUGCAUCCAUAGAAACGAGCAUUUUCACAUAACGAAAUGGAAAUUGAUAACUAAAAUGCCAAAUCAAGCACGUUGAGAGUACUUCAUAUUUUGGAAGAAAAAGAUGCACUAACAAACUGAAAGUCAAAAAGAUGCCAGAAGCAACCUGAGCAGAAAUUACGCAGAAGCCUCUAGCAACUCCCUUUCUGCACGCUCCCUAAUCCUUCUCUCGAGCUCUGGCCUAAAAUGCCGUAUUAGACCCUGCACAGGCCAAGCUGCUGCAUCACCUAAAGCGCAAAUUGUGUGCCCUUCAGUCUGCUUGGUCACCUCCUGAAGCAUGUCAAUCUCUUCCAACUUUGCAUUCCCAACUUUCAAUCUUUCCAUGAUCAUCCAUAGCCAUCCAGUCCCUUCUCUGCAGGGCGUGCACUGUCCACAACUCUCGUGCUUGUAGAAGUACGAAAGCCUCGCAAUUGCAUCUACAACAUCAGUUGACUUAUCCAUCACAAUUACUGCAGCAGUUCCCAGUCCUGACUGGACAGCCUUGAGUGCAUCAUAAUCCAUCAGGACAUCAUCACAUAUGUGCUUGGGUAAAAGUGGAACAGAUGAACCUCCUGGUAUUACUGCAAGUAAAUUGUCCCAUCCACCUCUGAUGCCUCCGCAGUGCCUCUCUAUCAACUCCUUAAGUGGUAUACUCAUCUCCUCCUCAACUGUGCAAGGCUUGUUGACGUGACCUGAGACACAAAACAAUUUUGUCCCAGAAUUGUUCUUCCUCCCAAAACUGGCAAACCACUCAGGACCACAUCUCAAUAUUGUGGGAGAAACAGCCACCGUCUCCACAUUUGUGACAGUGGUGGGACAGCCAUAUAACCCAGCAUUAGCAGGGAAAGGAGGCUUCAAUCUAGGUUUUCCUUGUUUUCCUUCAAGGCUCUCUAGAAGUGCUGUUUCUUCACCACAAAUAUAAGCACCGGCACCAAAAUGGAUGUGAACGUCAAAAUCAUAACCAGAACCACAUGCAUUUUUGCCCAACAGUCCAGCUUCGUAUGCUUCAUUUCUAGCUAUUUCAAGGUUUUUACGUUCAUUCACAUAUUCACCCCUGAUGUAGAUAUAAGCAGCUGUAGCUCUCAUCCCAACCCCAGCAAUCAAGCAACCCUCCAAUAGUUUGUGUGGAUCGUGCCGCAUGAUUUCCCUGUCUUUACAGGUUCCAGGUUCACUUUCAUCAGCAUUGACAACAAGAUAAGAAGGACGGCCAUCAGAUACUUUUGGCAUAAAAGACCAUUUGAGGCCUGAUGGAAAUCCAGCACCACCACGUCCUCGGAGUCCAGAUUUCUUCAUUUCAUUGACAAUCCAAUCAGCACCCUUGAGUACUAAAUCCUUGGUUCUAUACCAGUCACCACGUUUCAUGGCACCUUUGAGAAAAGGAUCAUGCAACCCAUAUAAGUUGGUGAAAAUACGAUCUUCAUCUUUUAAACCACCAAAAUGGGUUUUUUCGGGUGGUGGUGGAGGGGAUGCCUGUGGAGCACCAGCAGUUGUUGCUCCUUGAGUACUAAAUGAUCUAAUGCCUAGUUUCCACCUCUCACUGCUGGCUCUGAACAUUGCUGCCCUUUGCAAGGAAAGGAUGCCCUUUAUGGGUGCCUAUGCAAAGAAAAAAACAACCAAUCAUAACGACUUUGUUCUUUUUCAUUAAACGUUUUCCCAAAGACUUUAGGACAUAACAAAUCAAUUUCUUAGCUUCCAUGAAAUGAUACAAUUAUUAGAAAUAAAUCUAACAAAUACUCAAAAACACUCGAGAAGAAAACAAUAGCAAAUUUCAAGUAAGAAACAUGUUUGAAUGAAACACCUGAAACUGGAAAAGCCUACGAAAACGGUCCUAGAGGAAUAAUGAAGGGACAAUCGGAUGCUAAUAAUACACUCGGUGCAGCUAGUGCAACCAAAAAUAAAAGAAAGAAACUAACAUAAGACCCAUCAACUUCGAUACAAAUUAAUCAGACCAUGAAAUCUUGUCAGACCUCUCUGAAAAAUUACUUCCUUGAUGCCAAAAUACGAGCCACAUCCAAUUUUGAAGCAAUUAAAAAAAUUCCUAUUUCCUCGAUAAUCGCCUCAACUGCGUUUCACUGAGGCAUGUAAAUGAACAAUGAGAUAAUAAAAUCUAGACCAACCAAAAUUAAUUUCAUAACCUUACAACAACAAUCCAGCUUCAUUAAGCUUAGUUUCUAGCAAAUCAGGACUAAAAUUUUCUCUUCUGUGCAUUCAUUUUCCACUAGCAUAAUCGCAACCAAACAGAAGAUGAAGAAAGAAAAAAAAACAGAUUGGAUCUAGAAGUAAACGCGAACCAUCAUUUCACGAUCGGAAAAUGGAUGAAUAGACGAUAAAGGCGACGCAAGUGAAAACCGAAAAGAGAGAGUUUGGAAAUGAAGCGUACCAUAGCGUAAAAUGUUGCAGAUGUUCGUUGACACUGCGCGAUUCGACUCGACUGCAAAAUCAGAAACAAUGGCGGAGGGGGAAAAAAGGAAUAAAUGGGGAGUUCAAUAGUUGGGUAUGGUAUCUAGUAACAGGGAAAUCAAAAUGUUAAUUUUAUCAAGGGACUGGCAAUUUAAAUCCGGGAUUGGGAUACCCUACUCCUUCUCCCAGUUUGGAUAUUAGGAUUUGGAUAUAAAAAUUAGCGGAUAGAAAUUCCAAAGUAGGACCCGGAUGUAAAACUAAAUCAUUUUGUAUAUUUCUACAAUCAUUUUGUAUAUAUUUCUAAUAUGAAUAUUUUAACAAUUUAACAAUCAUAUUUAAUAUACAAUUUAAUAAUUAUAUCUAAUAUUCCAAUCAUGCAUGUUAAAUUAUUGAUAUUUUUUUGGUACAGUGACAAAAAUGUUAUGUUAUGAGAACGAGAAUUUGGGUUAAUAAAUAUAUAUAGUAUAUGAUAGAGAUAUUAAAUUUAUUCGAAAAUUUAUAUAUAUAUCAAGUACAAUUAUACCGAUAAAUUUAAUAGUUAAAUUGUUAAAAUAUUAAUCAUACAAAAAUAUAUAAAUGGGUGUAAAAUGACUUUAGUUUUAUAUGUGGAUCCCUUCCCAAUUCCCAAUUCCCAAUUCCUAAUUCUUAAUCUAAAUUUGGGUUUAACUAGAUUGCCUUGAGUUUGUUUAAAAGUACUUGGUUAUCUAAAAUAUUUUUUAAUCUAAUUACUAUGGAACUUGUAUUAGUUUAUGCUUACAUGGCACUGCAAAUAAUCAUACGAUGGCACUUGAAAACGCCUUAUUAUAAAAUGGUGGACAUAAAUAAAAAAUAUUAAAAUAUAUAAGUAAUAAAUCUGAACAAAUAGUUCUCUAGGUUCAUUUGAAUCUAGAUAACUUUUUAUCCAAAUUCAUUUGAUAUGUGUUUUUUUUAAUAAUUUUAUAUAUUUACAUUUUUAAUAAAACAUCAAAUUAUUUAUAUUAUUAUGAAUUUAGAUAAAUAAUUAUUUAAAUCUAUUUUAAAUAUGACUUUGCAUAGAAUAAUUAAUAUUGAGUAAACUUCUACCAUAAUAAAAAUGAGAUAAAGCAUAAAAUCUAGAUACCGACAAAAAAAGCUUAAAAGAAGAAAAAUGAGAAAGUAUUGCAAAGAAAAAUAAGGUAACAAUUAAAAAAUCAUUAAAAGAAGAAAAAGAAUAGUGGUGAUAGAGAGAAUGUAAAAGAAAAUAAAAAAAUAAUUUAAUUUAGUUUGAUUUUUAUAAUUUAAUUUAAUUUUAAUUUAAUUAAUUUAAAAAUGUCAAAAUGAUAGACUAAAAAAAUCUUUUUUAAGAAACGAAGAAAUUUGAGUAACGGAUUAUAAUUUAAAUACCAUGAAGUUUAGGUAUCCACUUGAAAAUAAUAUAUAAUUUAAGGAUUAUUUUGUAAUUUAACCCUAAUUAAAAAAUGAACGGCUGCCAUUCCUGCGUUCUGAUACAUUGGUCAAUAUUUUAAAAAAGACAGUAUACACAGGUAACAGCAGUAGCAAGUAAAAGCCUAAAUCCUCCUUUGUUCUAACGCAAAUUUGAAUCAUGACAGACACCUCCUCCGAUCUCCAAAAAUACGGCGUGCCGUUUUACGGAGCCGGAUGGGUUCCUUACAACCACAUCAAAUCCAAGCUCGCCUCACAAGAAAAGAUUGAAGAGGAUAAGAAAGAAGAAAAAGAUCCAACUCCAUCCAACGAUGACGAGAUCACUACACCCCUAAACUACGUUGUUCUCGCUGGCGGUGGCGGUGAAGGCCGUAGUGGCAUUCCCAAUGCAAUCGUUGUUUCCCACGUUAAUUUCACCUCCAAUUCUCUCUCCGAUCAACCUGUAAGUAGAUUUCGAGGAUUUCAAUUUAGAAAUUAUUGGAAUAUUUUUAGAUCUUUGGUUGACGAUUCUAGAAGUAUGAAAUCUAGAUCUUGUAGUUCAUUUAUUUUGAAUUAAGGAAAUGUCCUUAAAUUCUGAUUGUAAGCAACUACUACUUUUUUCUUCUUUCGCACAAGGAAUAUACUAAUGUAAUAUAUUUUUAGAUAAAUUUUUUAAUAUGUGUGUGUCUGUGUGUUUUCUGUUUUUUUUUUUUUUUUUGUGUUAAGGUGGUUAAGCAUGAAACUGGUUCUGAUUUGCCUUAUCGAAUGACUGUUCAUCCGCAUGGAUAUGGCAUUAUCUGUGCAUUUCAACAGAGCUGCAGGUUUUUUCUUUUAUUCUUUUCUUUGUUGACUCAUUUUUUCUUCUCUCUGUUAAUUUGCUUUUCAAAUUAGGCAUCUAUGACAUAAUAUAGCUCAGGUCACUUAGUUUGUUAAGGAAAAUAUGAACUUGAGAAUCCUUGGAGGAUUUUAAAGCGUUGUGCUUUAGUUUUCUGAAUGAUUGAUAGACGUAAAGCAUUCUCCUACGUUUUAACCAAAUAAUUUUCACUAUUGACAAGAGGUGCUAUUCUUUCUUCACGUUGCUUUGUCUAAAUUACCUCAAAGCCAGUGCGUCACAAGUGUUUCUAAAUAUCGGGGAUUUUGGAAGAAGAGAAUGAAAUUUUCUUGUUCUAAGCAGGAAAAAAUGCCUGAAAUAGUUUGUUCUUCAGAAUGUGCCCAAAAAAAGUUUUUUUUUUUUUUCAAAUCAAUUUCUUCAUCAUAUUUUCAACCAUUCUAUAUAUAUAUAUUGCCUGAAAUAGUUUGUUCUUCAGAAUGAGCCAAAAACAUAAAAGAUUAAAAUCAGUUUCCUCAUCAUAUUGGCAACCAUUCUAUUUAAUGCACAACUUCUCAUCUCUUUUUCUAUGAAGUUCUAAUGUUAUUAUUUUUAACUCUGGUACAUAGUUCUUGAGAGAAACCUCAAAUCUUUUAGUUAUGUUUAUUAACAAUUUUUACACGUGAGGGAAUGGAAUCACCUCUUUGUUAAGAGGUGGAAGCAGAUUGCUCUCAGAAUACGACUGUCUUGGAGGUAACAUUAUUACUCUGGCUUUAUUGCAUACUAGAAAUGGAAAAGGAAGGCUAGUAACAUAGAAGUGGAACCAUAUUAUAAAGGUGUACCUGAAGUUAUGCUAGCUUAUGAUCAAGGAGUUUAUAGUUAGUUUUGACGAUCAGAUAGGAAUUUCUUGUGUAAAUGGUGCUGCAAAACCUUGGUUGUGGUUAUUUGUGUGCUCCUUUUUAGUGACUCACUUCUAAUAUAUAUCCUUGUUAUUAUUGUGUUCUAUAGUUAGUUUUGUCAUUGCUAGUAGUUUAAGGAAUAUCACGCAUCCUUUUUUUUUUGUCUUCAGGUUGUUUGAGUGGAAAGAAUCUAACGGAAAUGAAGCCCACAAACUGGGUGUCAAGGUAUCAGAGAAAGUUCUGAUCCAGUUAGAGGAUGUUGGGCAACAGUUGGCACUGACAUUUAAUAGUGAGGGUUCUGUACUGGCUGUUGGUGGUGAGGUAGAGUGUCCCUCCCAUUUUUCAAUUUGUUGGAUUAAGUUUGUUGCAUUAUUCAUCACUAACCAAAGGGGGAAAACUAUUGCACUUGCUAUUGCACAAAUCAUCUGAAAAUGAUGCAAAAGUCGAGCCGCACAUUUUCCUAUAAAAUUAAAGAGCAUAUGCAUAUUGGCAUAUGAUGAAUCACAUUCGGCAACAGGCAGCCAGGUUAUCUUCAUGGUUAGGCUUGGGUUUUGAAAAGAUAUAUUGACACCAGAGCUAUUACUUUAUGGUAUUUUUUUAUUUCAGUUUUAUUUACUAAUUAUUAGACAUAUGAGUGGAUAGCUAGGAUUAUAACUUAUAAGUUAUCUCUAGAGAUUUAAUCUAGGCUAUGAUUAAAUUAUUAUUUGUAAACCCGCUUAUAAAUAAGCUGUAAAGUAGAUUUAUGGCCACCUUAUGAUUUUCUUUAAUUAAUAGACUUUAUAAACUAGAGUUUUUUUUUAUAACCCUACGUUUUUCUAGAGUUCUGACUUCUAUCUUACACAUUUUCAUCCUUUAGUUCUAUUGGUUUGCUGUUCUUUUCUUCCUAAACCACACCAUUAUAUAAGUUUAACUUGACAAUGAGGGGCGGGUGGAAUAGUGAGAGAAACAAAGAUAUUAACGUCACCAGAAUGUAUGACAAUUUAUUGACCUUUAUUUUGUACCCUUUCCAGUAGCGUCCUUGUUUUUCUUUUUGAUGCCAUGGUGGAAGUGAUAGAUUAUACUGGGGAUUUCAUAUUUCAGACUUGCCUACCCAUUAAAAGGCAGAUAAUAGCAAGUUAUAGGAUCUUACUUUUUUGUCAACUUUUGGAUUGAAGGGCCAACUGUUUCCAUAUCUGUCUCUUAGUUUCACUUUCUCAAUUCACCAUUUUGUGCCUAAUGCAUUAUACCUUUCUUUUAAAAGGAAAUAAAAAUUGUGCAGCAAUAUGCAAUAUGAUGCUCUGAUUUUGCUGCAGUACAGGAUGGCAGUUUAAGGGUUUUCAAGUGGCCUAGCAUGAAAAUAGUUCUCAAUGAAGCCCAGGCUCAUUCAUCUGUUAAGAACUUGGAUUUUAGGUUUGUGCCUGUUAUAUUAACGAAUAUAUAUAUAUUUCUGAACCUGCAAACUUUGUUUGCCAUGCUUAAGCUUUAAAGGGAGGGGUUGUCAAAGCAGAGGAAACUUCAUCUCCUUAGUAAUCAACUUGUUGCUGACAUAUCGACCGUUUGUAUUGCAGCUGUGAUGGAAAAUUUCUUGUGUCACUGGGAAGUGGCCUUUGUAGGAUUUGGGAUGUAACUUCGUCAAAAGUUGUUGCUUCUCUGGCAAAGGGAAAUGUGAGUGAAUGAAUCAAAGUUUUUUAAUAAGUGAAGCUUUUCUUUAGUUAUUACGAGUUUUGCCGCUGUUAGCACUAGGUUUUCUCGCUAUUGUCCAUAUUAUUAGCUUUAUGUGCAUACCUCUCUGUCUUUGAUGUUGUAAAAAGAAGCGUUAUGCAACCAUCUAAUAAUUUAGUGAAAUAGCUGAAGCCUUUUUUCAGAUUUCUUGCAGACAUUAAAUGAUAAGGGAAUUUUCAAUCUUUUCUGAUGAUUAAAGUUGAUGAUUCUUCUCUGUAUUGGGUUUCAACUGGUUUAUUUUGUUCACAUGAACUACAGGAUGAGGUUUUUGCCUUCUGCAGAUUUUCUCAAAUUAAUGAUAAGAAUCCACAUCUGUAUAUUGCUGCAGUCACAGGUAAAUAUUUAUUAUUUGACUCUGCUUUUCUGUGUCAUAAAAGAAACCCUGCUUUUAGUUUUAAAUUUUAACAUCAUUACUUCAUCUUGACAGACUAUGGUGGAAGUAUUUUAACAUAUAACACAACCACAUGGAAAAGAAUUCGCUCAAGCCGAGUAGUCCGGGAAGCUAUCUCUGCGUUCAAUGUCUCGUCUGAUGGGAAGUUCCUUGCAGUGUAAGAAUUAUUACUCUCUUAUCUUCUAGUUAUAACAUACUCAAAAAGUUCUAAGUACAAGUAUUAGUAAGACCCAUUAUGAGCUCUCCUCCUAAGACCUCUCUGGUGCUGACUGUAUUAGAUGAUUAUCCUGCCUGUUUCCCCUUCCAACUUUUCUAUUUUGUUCUAGAUUGUUUAUGGCCUUAUGGCUUAUUGCAUGGGGUUUCAACUUUAGACUUCUAUAUCCGUAUUGUCAAUAAAUACCUCUAUUGUAGUCUUGAAACUCCGCCAGCCUUUGCAUUUCAGAAAAUUAAUAAUUUUUCUUUAUCUGGUUUACAUGCAGUGGAACAGUCGGAGGAGACCUUUUUAUCAUAGAUUCUGCCAAUAUGCGGGUUCAGAUGAUGGUUAAAAAAGCUCACCUUGGUUUGGUUACAGCAUUGACGUUCUCCCCUGAUUCAAGGUUGUACACAAUAUAUCUGUUUUAUAAUUUAUUCUCUGCAGUACCCCUUGUUAGAAUAAGUAUGAUAUUGAGGAAUGCAAUUUUGAAUAUAGGGCUUUGGUUUCUGCAUCACUGGACUCAAGUGCUAGGUUGACCCCAAUCAAGGACAAGACGAGUAGUGGUACAUGCCUUUUCCUGAUUUUCUGGUUUUGUUGACUCAAAAGAUGCAUAUUCACUUUGUUGGACUGAAAGUGGCUGCCACACUGCAGCCUCAUGCCCAUGCCAUCUAUAAACUGAUUUGCCCUCUUCGGGGACCUAUCUUUUCCAAAUCCAUAUCAUAUGAGCAUCCUAAUUUAAGUUUGACUUCUAUUAACUCAAAGGGACAUUUGAAAACCAUUGAACUUUGUGCUCGUUAGUCUCCCAGUUUCAAACAUUCUUUGAGACCCAUGGAUGACACAGUUCAUAUGAAUGAAAUGAAAUGAAAUAUAAUGCAAACUUUGAUAUAAUCAAGAAGGCAAGUCAAACUAUUGCCUUAGGUAAUGUCCUGACCUAACCACCGAUGCAAUUGAUUCAGUGGUAAAUGUACUUAUGUCUCCUGCCUAUGAGGUUUGGGUUUCAAGCAGCACCAUGGAUGCUUGAGGCUAAACCUAUUUCUCUCUGCCCUGUCGCCAAAGGGUUGUUACAUUGACAUGACUAUCUAUAUACCUAUUUUCCAACUGAAAAAAUGCCCUGAUCUAGCUUGGAAUGACAUAAAUCUAGUAUAUAUUUUUGUUUAUUUUUUAAACUAGUUAUUGUUUUGUUUUAGAUAAAUAAAAAUCUUGUUUAAUAGAGGAUGUAAAAUUUGGUUGGUUGUGGGAAACAAGAAAACACAAUGUCUGUUUCUCAUACAUGGCAGGAAAACAACCAAAAUAUAAUCUAAAUAAACUAUCAAAGAGAAUAAUUUCCUGUCCAAGCUUAGAUGUGCAGUGCUGGCUUAGCCAAUUUUGCUAUACUAUAUUUUAGACUUAGGAAAUUCAUUUCCCGCAUAAAAAGCUCUAAUUGCUUUAUAUUCUACUUAAUUUUACAGGUGGAAUGACAUGGAUGAUCAUAUUAAUGGUGCUACUUGCAAUUGCUGUGUACUUUAUGAAGGAGAAAGGAAUUAUACCCUAAUGCAGGCCUGCUAAAAUUGCAAUCGAAGAUUUCACCAUUGUGUUAAAACUUUUGAAAUUGCUUGUGGCAAACUUUACAUAGAUUCUUAUCACUGUUCAGUCAACUUAAAAAUGUGAUAUGGAUUUCUGAUUUAAAUAGUCUAAUCAGCUGACUGCUUCAUUCCCACUUCCUGCCUAAUCAGUAUCCUCUGUCAUAGCUCAUGCUAUCUUGCAAUUUUUUUUCCCUUCGAUCCAUUGGUACUGACUUCUAGAGUCUGUAAAAGAAAUUUGACAGGUUGAAAAUAGUGCGAAUAUUUGUAUACUCAAUUUACGUCUAAUGCGUAUUCAUGAUUUUUAGAGUUUAUUGUCAAGUUGUUUAUGCUUUUAAAAUUGGUAUUGAUAUCCAAUGUUACGGUACACAACAAUCAAAUGGAGGUUGGGGAAGUGGGAAAUGGAGAUUGGACACAUUGGCUCCUACAAAUCUCCACUCGAGCAUGGUUUCCUAAGCCAUCACUCCCAUGGAGUCUUGUGCUUGCACAUUUUUUAUGGGAAUUACGGGUUGUUCAAAAUAACAUUAUUUUUCACUCCAGAUAUUAUCCACGCACAUUCGAAUUUCGAAGAUGCUAGCGUGUUCCUGAUCCAUGCGUUUUUUGGCUGAGAUAAGAAAAACCUCUGUAUGAAUCUUGCUGAAACUACGCUAGGAAGCCCCAAUGAAAGGAUGGCUCAGCCUUAACCAACGGCGGGGCCGGCGCUCUCAUUAGAUAUAAAAAUGGUUGAUGGCUCAUAGGGUUAGAGUCUUACCAACAUGUCCCUCAUGCUUAAAACCUGAACUUUGGCGAUUUAGAGAAUGAACUUGCGAAAUUUUGAAGAUGAGAUUGAUGCUACUAUUGUUAUCAGUCCAUUAUGUAUCAACUCAUAAUAUGUUGUUAUCUUCUAUUGCAGGACACUACUAUCGAGAUUGGAAGAGAAAACGUUCAAGUAUAUUUUCGAGAGAAGAAUAGAUGUGCAAAUGCUCUUUUCCGCCUAGGAAGUAGUUUUAAUUUCCUUAUGUUGUUUGUUGGAUGAAAACUCCGAACAUUGAUCGUUUGUGCAUUGGUAAUGUGCCACCAUCGGACCUUUCCCCUCUUUUGAUGGCUGAUGCUUACCGGAUAUUCUAUAUUUUACUGUUGGUUAAUUUUCUCCGUCAUAUUGUGAGAAAAGCUUGCUCUGUCAAUAACCUUCAACUCAACAAUGAAACAUAUGUUUUUUUCAGUCAGCCAAUAUCAGAUUUAGAGCUGAUUGCUAGCCCCCCUCAUUCCUCUUCCACUCACCGUCUCUUCUUCUUACUUACCCCUCCAACCACCCCAUCUCCUUUUCUUGGGGUUUGCUCCCUCUUUUGUUGGCUUUCCACCGUAUUUUUUUGGAAUGAGGAGGUCCUCACUUUGGGAAUAAUGAAAUUUUUCUCAAGUCAGUGGUGACCCGUUUUGUCAAGUUCGUGAUGCUCGUUUUUGUUUACGCAUGAUCUGACGAUUUUUAUUGAUCUAAGAGGUCCAGAUUCCAGUGGAAAGAAUAAGACUAUUGUAAGUGGAUAAAAUACACUAAUUCCCGAAGUUUUGAUCUGAUGGCUGAAUCCUGCUGAAGAAAUUUGUGUUCAUGAUGUUAGUGUUUUCAUAGGUGCUUUCCUACUUUACGGUGUAUUGAGAAAAUUAAAGAGAAUUUGAGAGUGGUUGAACUCAAGUUAAAGAGAACUAAACUUCGUUACUUGUUUUGUGCUAAAGAAGAAGAAAAGCAAAUUAUUUUACAUCUCUUUUAGUAGGCAGACGAAAAUGUAUAAACAUCAAACAAGCACAAUAUUCGCAGAACCGAAGUGAAUCCUAACAGUUUAUUUGGAUACAUCAUUAUGAAGAAAACAACUCACUUUCACUACUCAAUUAAUUAGCUGGUGGAGUAACACUUGGUCUCUGCAACUCUGUUCAUACUUUAAUAUAAUUCCUUAAGAAAACAUUUGUAAGGACUGUUUCUGAUUCAAAUGUGGCUUUCAGUUAUCAACAGAGAAACUCAAAUUGAUCCACUUCUAUUAUCAAUACCACAACAAAAGAGAUGCUAUACAUUGGUUUCACCAUCAGAGUAUAAGUCUGUGUAGCUUUAACAUAUAUACCCCACUUGCUUGCUUGGACUUGGUGUGUGACAUUCAUAAUUUUAGAGGGUGAACCAAACAAGGUGUAACUGGAAAAUCCAGGAGACCCUUGAGAAUCUGUCUGAAGCUGUAAAAUUGAAAUAUUCAGCUUUUCUGAUUCUGGUUUUGCAGCUUUCUCGUCUUGAUACACUAGGAAAGCUUUUUGAUACACGUUGUAGCAAGGGAGGCAUUUUGGAGCAGAUAUCUUAGUCCUCAAGAGAGAGUUGUUGUGGUAAGUUGGUUGCAGAUAGUGCGGAUCAAGGUUUAAUUACACAUUAAUCUACACUGCCAAAGCAUUCUGAACCAGCCACACCAUUUUCCCAAAGAAGCCCCAUGAUCGAACCCAGCGGUAGCUCAAAGACCCCAUAGAGGAAAUCAACCAAAUCCAUUCCAUCCUCACCCAACCCAACCUUCCUAGUGGUUGUUUCCACAUCAAGAUUCACAAUAAUAAUAUAUUUGUUUGUUGUAGCCAUUUCAGACUCGAGCAAGCAAUUAUUAUGUGAAGAAAGAGGGUUUGGACUUGGAGUGUAAGAGAGAAAAUUGCAUAUCCUGAGGAAAUUUUCACAUGGUGUGCAUAGUAAAUAAAUCAUUCCCCAC
rnacentral:lncRNA from 1 species